rnacentral:rRNA from 1 species
ACGCCUAAUACAUGCAAGUCGAACGGGGUAGCAAUACCUAGUGGCAGACGGGUGAGUAACAUGUGGGUAUCUUCCCUUUGGUGAGGAAUAACACGAGGAAACUUGUGCUAAUACCUCAUAAGUCUUUACGGAGAAAGCUUUAUGCGCCAAUGGAUGAGCCCGCACUUGAUUAGUUAGUUGGUAGGGUAAUGGCCUACCAAGACUUUGAUCAAUAGCUGAUUUGAGAGGAUGAUCAGCCACAUUGGGACUGAGACACGGCCCAAACUCCUACGGGAGGCAGCAGUAGGGAAUCUUGCACAAUGGAGGAAACUCUGAUGCAGCGAUGCCGCGUGAGUGAAGAAGGCCCUUGGGUUGUAAAGCUCUUUCGUCGGGGAAGAAAAUGACUGUACCCGAAUAAGAAGGUCCGGCUAACUUCGUGCCAGCAGCCGCGGUAAUACGAAGGGACCUAGCGUAGUUCGGAAUUACUGGGCUUAAAGAGUUCGUAGGUGGUUAAAAAAGUUGGUGGUGAAAUCCCAGAGCUUAACUCUGGAACUGCCAUCAAAACUUUUUAGCUAGAGUAUGAUAGAGGAAAGCAGAAUUUCUAGUGUAGAGGUGAAAUUCGUAGAUAUUAGAAAGAAUACCAAUUGCGAAGGCAGCUUUCUGGAUCAUUACUGACACUGAGGAACGAAAGCAUGGGUAGCGAAGAGGAUUAGAUACCCUCGUAGUCCAUGCCGUAAACGAUGUGUGUUAGAUGUUGGAAAUUUAUUUUCAGUAUCGCAGCGAAAGCGUUAAACACACCGCCUGGGGAGUACGA